UCUCUUAUAGUAUAACGGAAAUUACACGCACCUCAGAUGAGAACGAUAGGAGUAUCGUGGAUUCUGUGUGAGAUCUGGGUUCGAAUCCCGGUGGGAGAU